rnacentral:ribozyme from 15 species
CAAAUGACAAAGAAACAAACAAAAGCAAUGAAAAAAUGUCAAAAAAGGCCAUCUUUUUU